rnacentral:rRNA from 1 species
UGCGUAGGCGGAUCAAUAAGUCAGUGGUGAAAUCUCUCGGCUCAACCGGGAAACUGCCAUUGAUACUGUUGAUCUUGAGUUCGGUUGAGGUAGGCGGAAUGUGUAAUGUAGCGGUGAAAUGCUUAGAUAUUACACAGAACACCAAUUGCGUAGGCAGCUUACUAGACCGACACUGACGCUGAGGCACGAAAGCAUGGGGAGCGAACAGGAUUAGAUACCCUGGUAGUCC